rnacentral:rRNA from 1 species
AGUGAACGCUGGCGGUAGGCCUAACACAUGCAAGUCGAACGGCAGCACAGGAGAGCUUGCUCUCUGGGUGGCGAGUGGCGGACGGGUGAGGAAUACAUCGGAAUCUACUCUGUCGUGGGGGAUAACGUAGGGAAACUUACGCUAAUACCGCAUACGACCUACGGGUGAAAGCAGGGGACCUUCGGGCCUUGCGCGAUUGAAUGAGCCGAUGUCGGAUUAGCUAGUUGGCGGGGUAAAGGCCCACCAAGGCGACGAUCCGUAGCUGGUCUGAGAGGAUGAUCAGCCACACUGGAACUGAGACACGGUCCAGACUCCUACGGGAGGCAGCAGUGGGGAAUAUUGGACAAUGGGCGCAAGCCUGAUCCAGCCAUACCGCGUGGGUGGAGAAGGCCUUCGGGUUGUAAAGCCCUUUUGUUGGGAAAGAAAUCCAGCUGGCUAAUACCCGGUAGGGAUGACGGUACCCAAAGAAUAAGCACCGGCUAACUUCGUGCCAGCCGCCGCAGUAA